rnacentral:rRNA from 1 species
AUUGAACGCUGGCGGCAGGCCUAACACAUGCAAGUCGAGCGGAUGAGGAGAGCUUGCUCUCUGAUUUAGCGGCGGACGGGUGAGUAAUGCCUAGGAAUCUGCCUGGUAGUGGGGGAUAACGUUCCGAAAGGAACGCUAAUACCGCAUACGUCCUACGGGAGGAAGCAGGGGACCUUCGGGCCUUGCGCUAUCAGAUGAGCCUAGGUCGGAUUAGCUAGUUGGUGAGGUAAUGGCUCACCAAGGCGACGAUCCGUAACUGGUCUGAGAGGAUGAUCAGGCACACUGGAACUGAGACACGGUCCAGACUCCUACGGGAGGCAGCAGUGGGGAAUAUUGGACAAUGGGCGAAAGCCUGAUCCAGCCAUGCCGCGUGUGUGAAGAAGGUCUUCGGAUUGUAAAGCACUUUAAGUUGGGAGGAAGGGUUGUAGAUUAAUAGCACAGCAUUUUGACGUUACCUACAGAAGAAGCACCGGCUAACUCUGUGCCAGCCGCCGCCGUAACAC